UACGAAGGGGGCUAGCGUUGUUCGGAAUUACUGGGCGUAAAGCGCACGCAGGCGGAUUUAUAAGUCAGGGGUGAAAUCCCGGGGCUCAACCUCGGAAUUGCCUUUGAUACUGUCUAUCUUGAGUCCGGGAGAGGUGAGUGGAAUUCCUAGUGUAGAGGUGAAAUUCGUAGAUAUUAGGAAGAACACCAGUGGCGAAGGCGGCUCACUGGCCCGGUACUGACGCUGAGGUGCGAAAGCGUGGGGAGCAAACAGG
rnacentral:rRNA from 1 species